UAGGUUAUGUGCCCUUUAGUCUGGGAUACCCACUGGAAACGGUGAUUAAUACUGGAUACUCCCUACGGGGGAAAGUUUUUCGCUAAAGGAUCAGCCUAUGUCCUAUCAGCUUGUUGGUGAGGUAAUGGCUCACCAAGGCUAUGACGGGUAUCCGGCCUGAGAGGGUGAUCGGACACACUGGAACUGAGACACGGUCCAGACUCCUACGGGAGGCAGCAGUAGGGAAUAUUGCUCAAUGGGGGAAACCCUGAAGCAGCAACGCCGCGUGGAGGAUGAAGGUUUUAGGAUUGUAAACUCCUUUUGUUAGAGAAGAUUAUGACGGUAUCUAACGAAUAAGCACCGGCUAACUCCGUGCCAGCAGCCGCGGUAAUACGGAGGGUGCAAGCGUUACUCGGAAUCACUGGGCGUAAAGAGUGCGUAGGCGGGGUAAUAAGUCAGAUGUGAAAUCCUGUAGCUUAACUACAGAACUGCAUUUGAAACUGUUACUCUGGAGUGCGGGAGAGGUAGGUGGAAUUCUUGGUGUAGGGGUAAAAUCCGUAGAGAUCAAGAGG
rnacentral:rRNA from 1 species